GCGGAGCUUCCUCAGCAAGGCGCUCGCGGGGCUCGGGGAGACGGGCGCACGGGUGCCCGGCAGGUGAGCGGAGGGCGCCGGGCCCUGCGGCCUCUGCCCGGAGGGGCGGCCGGGGGUGCACGUCCCCCGAGCCUUGGUCCCUCGGCUGGGAAACGGGAAGGGGGGCCAGUGGGGGCGCAGGCCCUGGUGUGCAGGGAGGGGCCGGGUGUGCUGCAUGCCCCCCGGGUGUCACCUGUGCAGCAAGGGGCCCAUGGCACGUACCUCCUAGCCACCGCGGGGCCCGGCAGCCACCUGACAGGUGAGUGGGCAGAGGAGCCCACCCGGCUGUGCCUGGGGCAUGGGGGACGGGGGCCCUGAGGGGCCGAGGUGCGCGUGGGACCUCCGGCGUGGGGCAUGUCUGGCUGGGGGGCAGCCCAGCCGCUCCUAGGAAGCUGGCGUGAUCACCCUGGGCCUGGAAGAGGGCGCAGAGGGGCCAGGGUGCCGUCCACAGCACCGCGGCGCGGGGGCUCGCGGGGAGGGGCCGGGGCCCCAUCAGGGCUCUGUGCUGGCAGCCAGGCUCCGGCACGUGUGGGCGCAGGACAGUGCCAGAGACCUGGGGCCGACCCUGAGCGCCAGGAGUGCCAGGCCGCCGGCCGUGAGGACAGCCCUGGACGGGCCAGCGGCAGAGCCCCUGGCCCCCUGCCGGGAGCGUUCGGGGACACUUGGUUCUCAGCGGGCAGUGGGUGCCCGCGGCCCUGGCUGGCUGCCUGGGGGGGGGGGCGUGGGGCAGGGGCUGCCGGGGCCCCUGACGUACUGUCUCAUCACCCGCAGGCCGACCCCAGCCGCCUCGCCGGCCCUGAGUUGCCCCCCCAGUGCUGUAGCGCCUCCAGCCAGCCCCUCGCCCAAGCUCUCUGUGCCGUCCCCCAGCCCUGCUUCGCCACCCCCCCAGGCCCCCGGCCCUGCUUCGUCACCCCCGAGCGUGGGCACCUCCCCGAGGCCCCCCCGGCCGCCCCAGGCGGGCAGGACAAGCCCCAGCGUGGCCGCGGGCACCAGCUGGGGCCGUGCUGGCUCGGGGGUGAAGCCGGAGGCCCCCACCGCGAAGGCGCCCACCGUGCGGCCCUCCCCAGGCCUGAGUGCCGGUGCCCAGGGCGGAUCAGAGGACGGGCCAGCGGGAUGGCGGGCACGCCUGAAGCCCGUGGAGACGAGAAGCCCCCCGGAGAGGUGAGGGCCGCCCUGGGCUGGCCAGGCGGGUGCCCGGCAGAGGCGGGAUGGCGCACGCUGACGGCGUGGCACGGGCACCUGCUCCUCCGGGGCUUGUGGGACAUGGCGUGGCACUGGCCCCGGUGGGCUCGGGCGCCCGUGGAGGCUGCAGGAGACGCUGGGGUGGCGCCGGGG
rnacentral:lncRNA from 1 species